GCGACAACGACGGCGGUGACAACGACGGCGGCGGUGACGGGCGCCGCGCCGGGGCAUGUGUCAUGCGCAUUCUUGGACACUUUAGUGAUACUGUUGUGGAUACACCAGAGUGACUGAUGAACCACCCUCACCUUUCCGGUUUCGUGCCUUCUCUUUCUGCACCACAUUCCUUUGAUAAGACUUGGUAAAGCACCAUAUCCCACUUGAACUCUGCAUCCAGGAAGCCCAGGAUUGAAGACAAAAGAUCAGAGACAUUGACUAACCUGGAAACAGGGACAUCUUUGGAACUUUAUCUACAGUAAUCUUUUAAACUGUCGUCAGGUGAAAUCAGCUUCAUCUUAUUCUGCUUAUUGAAAAGGACAUGGCUUCAAGGAUUUUAAAUUUCCUUUUAGUUUUUCAU
rnacentral:lncRNA from 1 species